rnacentral:rRNA from 1 species
UACGUAGGUGGCAAGCGUUGUCCGGAUUUAUUGGGUUUAAAGGGUGCGUAGGCGGUUUUGUAAGUCAGUGGUGAAAUAUGGCAGCUUAACUGUCAGGGUGCCAUUGAUACUGCGGAGCUUGAGUACAGAUGAGGUAGGCGGAAUUGACGGUGUAGCGGUGAAAUGCUUAGAUAUCGUCAAGAACACCUAUAGCGAAGGCAGCUUACUAGGCUGUAACUGACGCUGAGGCACGAAAGUGUGGGGAUCAAACAGG